GACGAACGCUGGCGGCGUGCCUAACACAUGCAAGUCGAGCGGGGAGAAGAAUUCGUUUUUCUCUUUAGCGGCGGACGGGUGAGUAACACGUGGGUAACCUGCCUCAAAGAGGGGGAUAGCCUUCCGAAAGGAAGAUUAAUACCGCAUAAUAUCAGGAAGCUGCAUGGCAUUCUGAUUAAAGGAGCAAUCCGCUUUGAGAUGGACACGCGGCGCAUUAGCUAGUUGGUGAGGUAACGGCCCACCAAGGCGACGAUCCGUAGCCGACCUGAGAGGGGGAUCGGCCACAUUGGAACUGAGACACGGUCCAGACUCCUACGGGAGGCAGCAGUGGGGAAUAUUGCACAAUGGGGGAAACCCUGAUGCAGCAACGCCGCGUGAGUGAUGAAGGCCUUCGGGUCGUAAAGCUCUUUGAUCAGGGACGAUAAUGACGGUACCUGAAAAACAAGCCACGGCUAACUACGUGCCAGCCGCCGCCGUAAUAC
rnacentral:rRNA from 1 species